rnacentral:lncRNA from 1 species
GAAAAACUAAUACACCUAAAUGGAGGAAUGGUCAAGCACAAAGUCCCACUAUGAAGUCUGCCCUAUGUGAUCUAAGCACUUCAGGAAUCAAUCCACCUAUAACUUAUGCCUCUUUUCAUUCUACCAUUUAGAGAGAAAAAUCAGGAAGUAAAAUCCCAGUACAUGGAACUUACAAGGGAAUAACAGCUUCAAAUUCGUCGCUCUGACCUCUCGUCACACAGCUCAUAAUACAAUGGGAAAAGGUCUACACCAACAGAAAAAGCAUAGUGAUAUGCCACAAAAAUCUAACCUAUCUUGUGAGCAAUCUAUCAAUCACAAAAAAAGAAAAAAGAAAAUGAGCCUCAAAGAAAGUCAAGACAUAGGAGAUAAAAAAGUAAUGAAACAGAAUAUGAGUCUCCUAGAAUCACUUGACCAGCUCAAAAAAUAAAGAGCCACACGAAGCUAUUCUCACCUGAUAUAGCUUGGUUGCUCACACUCGCAUCCAUCCAGCGAGUCCUGCAAUUCAGAGCCGCGAGUGGCAGCCGACCCCUCUGUCCACCAACGAGGCCAGCAAGUCGUAGAGGAAGCCGGCGACCUGCUGUCACUCACACACACAUACAACAUGAAUUUUGUCAGUAUUUGCACACACACACACACUCAAUUUCAGAGAUGGCUAGAGAAGCAAAGUUUUUGACAAGCUGAAACUGAAAUAUAAACAAUGCAUUUAAGCAUAAGGAGAGGCCAUUUUUAGUAUGAUGAGGCUGAUAACAAUUGUGACAAUAAACAUAACUGAAACAUAGAAUAAAACAUGAACAAUUUGUUUAGCUGACCACCCAAGCUUUAUUUAUUUAAUUGACCACACAAGUGCUGAUAACAAUUCCUCCAUUAUAUACAUGAUGUUCACGACAUGAGCAAGCACAGAACUAUCAAUCACUACAGGAGCAAGCACCAAGCACGCACAAAGAGGAGCACCAAGCAUUCUGAAGUCUGAACAUCUAGAUUCUAGAAUAAAAACAAUCUACAAAGCACCAAACACGUACAUAAGAAUUGUCGAUCACUACGGGGAGCUAGCACAUAACUGCAGAUUCUAGCUCAUAAUAGGAGCAAGCACAAAGCACUAAACUGCAGAGGACGGAGAAACUACAGAGGAUAGCACAAGUGCCAUCUCUGACGACUUCGCCGCUGGCGGCAUGAACCGCGUACGGGUACAGGAUGGCGGCCGCGGGAUCUUACUUCUGAGAUGGUUAGACCGUCCAUGAAUUCUUCCAGUCCGAGGCCGCGGCGAGGAGGCCCAUGCGCGCGCUGCCGGUGUGCCGGUGCCCGACGACCGUGCUCUCAUCGUCUUGCGCUUGGGUCCCGGUCGCCCUCCUCGUCUAUGGAGACAAGAGGCUGCUGCACCAAAUCUGAGAGAGACGAAAAUAGAGGCGAGGAUCAGAGCUCGAGCGGAGUAGAGAGGAGGAGGAGGGGGCAGAGGAUGAACUCACAGGUGCAGAGAAGACACGGCCCAACGCACCGCGUGCACCUCAUGGCCAUCGGGCGUGGGAGGACCGUCCAUGAGGCGGAGCCACGCGGUGGGGCGACGAAGGGGACUGAGAUGAGCCGUCGGAGGCCGCCAGAGCCUCGCCGGCGACGAAGGGGACGCUGCGUCGAAACCCUAGCUAUGGCUGAGGGUCGGGAGCGAGCGCGGAAAACCUCUCGUGACGGAUUUGGACGGAUGGGAGGAAGGAGCGGUGAGAGGGGUGGUCUUUGGUGUGCCACCCGCCGCCGGGACUCACCGGAAUCGGCCGGCAUGGGUGGUGGCGGCGGCGGCGAGGGGUUGCAAGAGGAGAGAGAGCUAGCGAGACAGGAGACGAGAGGGCUUGCGUUUUUAACUUUUCUCUUCGACACAGUAAAAUCCACAUG